rnacentral:rRNA from 1 species
GGGCCCGCACAAGCAGCGGAGCGUGUUGCUUAAUUCGAUGCAACGCGAAAAACCUUACCUACUCUUGACAUACUUGGAAGCUCUUGUAAUGAGAGUGUGCCUUUUGGAACCAAGAUACAGGUGCUGCAUGGCUGUCGUCAGCUCGUGUCGUGAGAUGUUCCGUUAAGUCGGAUAACGAGCGCAACCCUUACCCUUAUUUGCCAGCGAUUCGGUCGGGAACUAUAAGGGGACUGCCGGUGAUAAACCGGAGGAAGGUGAGGACGACGUCAAGUCAUCAUGGCCCUUACGAGUAGGGCUACACACGUGCUACAAUGGGGAAUACGACGGACGCUAAGCCGCGAGGUGGUGCU